GACGAACGCUGGCGGCGUGCUUAACACAUGCAAGUCGAACGGAAAGGCCCUGCUUUUGUGGGGUGCUCGAGUGGCGAACGGGUGAGUAACACGUGAGUAACCUGCCCUUGACUUUGGGAUAACUUCAGGAAACUGGGGCUAAUACCGGAUAGGAGCUCCUGCUGCAUGGUGGGGGUUGGAAAGUUUCGGCGGUUGGGGAUGGACUCGCGGCUUAUCAGCUUGUUGGUGGGGUAGUGGCUUACCAAGGCUUUGACGGGUAGCCGGCCUGAGGGGGUGACCGGCCACAUUGGGACUGAGAUACGGCCCAGACUCCUACGGGAGGCAGCAGUGGGGAAUAUUGCACAAUGGGCGGAAGCCUGAUGCAGCAACGCCGCGUGCGGGAUGACGGCCUUCGGGUUGUAAACCGCUUUCGCCUGUGACGAAGCGUGAGUGACGGUAAUGGGUAAAGAAGCACCGGCUAACUACGUA
rnacentral:rRNA from 1 species